AUUUAUAUAGCUUAAGAAGAGUUUAAUAUUGAAGAUAUUAAGGUAAUAAAAAUUUAUAAAUA
rnacentral:tRNA from 1 species